CAGAGCAUCACAUCCAAGAUGCUUUGACUGCACACACUGCUGGAGCUUCAAGUCAACUUAUGACAUGUGAGACAGUCAUUGAGGUUCACCCUCAGCCACACCCUCCACAGGAAGAACUCCUACUAGAGCAUCACAUCCAAGAUGCUUUGACUGCACACACCGCUGGACCUUCAAGUCAACCUAAGACUCCACCUGAAGAAGUUGGUGAAGUGUAUCCAAGGCCACUCCUCCCACAGGAAGAACACCACUAUCAAGAAACAUGUACAUCACCUGAACCCAAAAAUAAGAAGAUGCUGCAGUUCAUUAAACGCAUGUCAUUCUACAACAAAGAUCUUCACAAAAGACUGACAAAAGUUACCAAAGAGAAAUUAUUAUCGUGAAGAAAUCAAGAAGUAUCAGGAAAUUAUUAAUAAAUUACGGAAUGAAUUGGAUAAUGUCAGAGUUGAAUGCCAGGAAAAUGUUUCAAAAGCAUUAUCUAAAACAUUUACAAAAAAUCAAACAAAGUAUUUUGUAUCAAAUAAGCACAUACUCAAGUGGGAGGAGGAAGACAUUAGCAAAGCACUUACUUUACGAUCCUUAAGCCCUAAGGCAUACCGUUUCCUUAGGAAACACUGGAACUUUCCACUGCCAUCUCCUGCCACUAUCAGUAAAUGGGUAUCAAAAGUUGUUGUGGAACCCGGAAUUUUGUGUAAUGUCAUCCAACUUUUAGCUCACUAUGCUCCAACAAUGUGUGAAUAUGAGCGAAUAUGUGUUUUAUCUUUUGAUGAGUCUGCAGUUGCUCAAGCUUGGUCAUAUGACU